UCCCCGGUGGCUCAGCUGGUAAAGUAUCCACCUGCAAUGUGGUAGACCUGGGUUCGAUCCCUGGCUUGGGAA
rfam:TPA: Bos taurus chromosome 10, whole genome shotgun sequence.